rnacentral:rRNA from 1 species
GACGAACGUUGGCGGCGUGCUUAAUACAUGCAAGUCAACUGAAGCAGUGGUAGCAAUAUCGCUGUGGAGGUGGCGCACGGGUGAGUAACACGUAGGUAAUCUGCCUUCAGGUCUGGCAUAACUCCGGGAAACCGGGGCUAAUAGCAGAUGAUGCAGCGGCUCGACAUCGAGACAGUUGUUAAAGCUAUGGCGCCUGAAGAUGAGCCUGCGUCUGAUUAGCUAGUUGGCGGGGUAACGGCCCACCAAGGCAACGAUCAGUAGCUGGUCUGAGAGGAUGAUCAGCCACACUGGAACUGAGAAACGAUCCAGACUCCUACGGGAGGCAGCAGUAAGGAAUAUUGCUCAAUGGGAGAAAUCCUGAAGCAGCCACGACGCGUGAGGGCCGAAGGGCUUUUGCUUGUAAACCUAUGUAGUGAGAGAAAAAAAUCCCAAUCUUUGGGACAUGAUGGUAUCUCAAAAGUAAGCCCCGGCUAACUACGUG